rnacentral:rRNA from 1 species
CACUUAGAUGUUCUGGGCGGCCCGCGCACUACAUUGGCACUCUCAAUAAGUUCCUAGAUCUAAAACUUUGGGGUAUUCUAUUAAGUGGUGUCGUGACUGGGAUUAACCCUUGCAAUUAUUGGUUACGAACGAGGAAUUCCUUGUAAUCGCGGUUUAUCAGCCCGCGUUGAAUGCGUCCCUGCCCUUUGUACACACCGCCCGUCGCUCCUACCGAUGAAUCGUCCGGUGAAGUUCAUGGAGUGGUGGUUGUUCCAGCUGCUGUCGAAGUGAAAUGGACCUCACGAUUUAGAGGAAGGAGAAGUCGUAACA